CAACCAUAGGCCUGAAACAAAAAGACUCCAAAAAUACAGAGAGCCAUUAAUCUGUAUCAGAUUCUUGCGUGCUCUCUCUCCCCAUCCAUCAUAUACAUGCAUGUUUUUUAAUACAUCCCCAAGCCCUUUUUUCAUCUGCUUAUGCAGGGUUAGAAUCUGGGGCACCCUGGUAUCUUCCUGUAUCCUAUGCUCUUGCUGCCUACCGUUUUUGGGGUUCACUGACAAAUCCUUGCUGACUGGAGUCGGGGUGUGUGGAGUGGAUCACUUCAAUUCAUGCCAGGAGAAGAAUCAUUAGAUUCUAAAUGCAUUCAGAAGACAGGGGGCAGAGAGACAGACUCGGAGGAUCACAGAGGCUCCUCAAAGCUGGUUUUGCAAAGCUGUGACAGAAAGCCUCAGAAAAGCACUGGAAGGCUGGCUUCUGCUUCAAUCUAUCAUGAGAAGCCAUCAAGAUGUUGCCU
rnacentral:lncRNA from 1 species